AGUUGAAUGGCAGGGCAAUUCUCCUUUGGCGGAUAAUAUAGCACUUUUUCUACAAGUGCAACAUUUUCUGCCAAAGGAGAAUUGCGCUGUUAUUCUUCU
rfam:Theobroma cacao cultivar Matina 1-6 chromosome 1, whole genome shotgun sequence.